AUCUUGAUAGCUAAAUGCAUAUAGUGCAGUUUUGAAGAAACUGAGGUGGUUUAAAAACCUUAAGAUG
rnacentral:tRNA from 1 species